UUUCCGUAGGUGAACCUGCGGAAGGAUCAUUCAUAAUUAGUGUAUUAUGGCAGUUUUUUAAAUCCAUAACAACUUGGGGUGCAAUGUGAGGGCUGACAUUUCUCUCGAGAGGACCAACGCGAAACACCAACUAUAUCCCAACUCUUUGUCUGAAAAGUAUUAUGAAUAAAACAAUUCAAAAUACAACUUUCAAGAAGGGUUCAUUUGGCUCUCGCACCGAUGAAGAACGCAGCAGACCGGAAGAGACCACGUCCGAACUUCAGGCACGCAUAGUAAACG
rnacentral:misc_RNA from 1 species